GAAUGCAAUCAAAUUAGCAUAUCAGAGAAAGUGGCCAAUUUGCGUUUCAAUUCAGACAAGGACAAAGCAAGAUAUUUUGCGUCAGCGACGGUUGAGUCGAAUUUCUGGUUGGCUGCACUACCAUCAAAACAUUUAGGCACUCUGUUGGACAACAAUACAUUUCGAAUAUCGAUAGCUUUACGUUUCAGUUUGGAUAUAUGCUCGCGUCACAAAUGUGUUUGUGGAAAAAUGGUUUUCAAGGAUGGAUUACAUGGACUCAGUUGCUCUAAAAGUGCAGGACGAAUACCAUGUCAUUCGGAGUUAAACAACAUCAUUCACUUGUCAUUAAAAUCAUCAAAUAUUCCUGCAAUGCGAGAGCCUCCAGGCAUGUUCAGAGAUGAUGGGAAAAGAGUUGAUGGUGUAACACUUAUACCAUGGAGCAAAGGACAAAAUUUGGUAUGGGAUGCUACAUGCUCUGAUACCAUGGCGCCGUCUUACAUUCAUCUUUCAUGUAAUGGACCCGGUAAAGUAGCGACAAAAGCUGCCGGCGUUAAAUUGAACAAGUACAAAAAAUUACUGGAGCAAAAUUACAUAAUCCUACCGUUUGCAGUCGAGACGUUAGGCCCAUGGUGUGCCGAAGCAAUACAAUUCAUCGAUACAUUAGGAAAUUUGAUCCAGGAACGAACUGGUGAAAACAGAUCAAA